UGUUGGUGGGGAUCGAUCGAACAAGCAAGAGAAGGGGAGAAACCCUAGCUCAAGCAAAAACAAGCAAUUGGAUCUUAAUUCUCAAGAUAAUCCAGUGCAUGAGUCCAUAAAUCUGAAUAACUAACCUCAAUUUCGUAAGUGGCAUAAAGGAAGAAGGUACAAGCGCCAAGAAAACGGAAGGAGCGCAAGAUCGAGGUAAAGCACCUCUAUAGGCGAUUUGGAGAUAUGGGACGAGCACAUGUUCAAGCCUUAUGAUACCAAGCGCUUCCGCAACUUAUAUGCAUGCUUUUGGGUCGUGUUUGUUACUUGUUAAACUUUGUUGAAAUGUUUUAGAAUUGAAAACUUGUCG